UGUAGAAUAAGCUAAGUUUAAGCUGUUGGGUUCAUACCCUAGUAAUGAGUUGGUGUGCUCUUCUGCGA
rnacentral:tRNA from 1 species